rnacentral:rRNA from 1 species
UACGUAGGGCGCGAGCGUUGUCCGGAAUUAUUGGGCGUAAAGAGCUCGUAGGCGGUCUGUCGCGUCUGCUGUGAAAACUCAGGGCUUAACCCUGAGCUUGCAGUGGGUACGGGCAGACUAGAGUGCGGUAGGGGAGACUGGAAUUCCUGGUGUAGCGGUGAAAUGCGUAGAUAUCAGGAGGAACACCUGCGGUGUAGACGGCUUACUGGACCAUCACUGACGCUGGAGGCACGAAAGCGUGGGGAGCAAACAGG